GACGAACGCUGGCGGCGUGCUUAACACAUGCAAGUCGAACGAAGUGGCGAACGGGUGAGUAACGCGUAAUCAACCUGCCCUUCAGAGGGGGACAACAGUUGGAAACGACUGCUAAUACCGCAUACUGAAGGAGGGGAUUGCGUCUGAUUAGCUAGGUGUAGGGGUAACGGCCCACCAAGGCGAUGAUCAGUAGCCGGUCUGGGAGGAUGAACGGCCACAUUGGGAAUGAGACACGGCCCAGAAUUCUAAGGGAGGCAGCAGGGGGGAAUCUUUCGCAAUGGACGAAAGUCCGACGGAGCAACGCCGCGUGAGUGAUGACGGCCUUCGGGUUGUAAAGCUCUGUUAAUCGGGACGCGGUACCGGAAGAGAAAGCCACGGCUAACUACGUGCCAGCAGCCACGGUAAUAC
rnacentral:rRNA from 1 species